rnacentral:lncRNA from 1 species
CAGGUUCCAGAGUUAAUCUACUCCUGAACGGACUAAGAGCUAUUAUUCUCCCACAUUGUGGAGAGGCAGGGCAUGAUCUGGGACUUUCCAACCCCUUGAAGACUAGCUUUUCUCCUGCAAUUCUUUAGAGACUGGGCUGCCCUUUGGUGGACUUUGGAGUCUGGUUCAUUUCAGGACCUUCAAAGGCCUGACAACAAUGUGCAAGGGGUCAGCAGGAACAUGGUGAAGACAGUUGUUGUCAGCCUGCCAAGGAUGGAAAUGAUUUGGAUUUUUUAGUCUUUCGAGGAUUGAAACAAAAUAAGGAGCAUAGCUUUGUAUUGGGGAAGCUUGGCUGUCCUCAUGUAAACUCAAGAAUGUUGAUGUGAAUUGGCUACACUACUCAUACUCAUCCUGCCUACUCCAGUAGAUGACUGGUCACUCCUGCUUACCAAAAGAAAACAGCUUGGUGGUUCUCCUUCUUAUGGAAAAACCAAGACUACUCACUCUGCACUUACCAUUCAAAGGGACAUUAUUCCAGUGAUUAAAAAGAGAUCUGCUUUUUGUACCAAGC